AAUAGGCCUUUAGUGUUAGCUUCUGUUGGCGGUUUGAGCAGCCAAUGGCUGGCGCGGUCUGGUUUCGCGUCGGCCAAUGGGGUUGAUUGUCCCGCCCCUUUCAACAGCUGGCGGUUGUUUCGUUCGGAGCGCAGCAGACAGGCUUGAGAGCUAACAGCUGACGGUUGCUUCCGCUCAGAACGCUUGAGAACAGCUGACGGUUGUUUCCUUAAAGAGCUAGAAAGAAAUUGACAAAUCUGGAGAUCUCGGAGAGUUUCCCCUGUAAACAGCUGAACCCCGAAAAAUAGCCGUUGACAGCUCGGAGCAUCGGUCAGGUUUUUUUGUUUUAGCUUGUUUGAUACACUUUUGGCUUGUAGAGCCAAAGAUUCCAAGACCCUCUUCUCCUGAACCUGGAUGGCGAGCCCCAGCCCAGAGGACCAGGCGCACGGGUAGAUAGUGACCCGACUGGUCACCAGCUGAGAGACCGAGACUGAACAAUUGACUCAUUGGAGACUGAAGUAUUCAAUUUAUUUUUUUAUUAUUUUUUAAAAGCGCGCAGUAUUUGUUUGUCUGUUUUAAAUGUGGAUCCACCAUUGUUUAUUAUAUUAAAUUUUGCUGUUUUCUUGUAGACACUGU